rnacentral:rRNA from 1 species
CGGAGGGUGCAAGCGUUGUUCGGAAUUACUGGGCGUAAAGCGCGUGUAGGCGGCUCGCUAAGUCCGAUGUGAAAUCCCGGGGCUCACCCCCGGAAGUGCAUCGGAUACUGGCGAGCUAGAGUACCGGAGAGGAGGACGGAAUUCCUGGUGUAGCGGUGAAAUGCGUAGAUAUCAGGAGGAACACCGGUGGCGAAGGCGGUCCUCUGGACGGAUACUGACGCUGAGACGCGAAAGCGUGGGGAGCAAACAGGAUUAGAUACCCUGGUAGUCCACGCCGUAAACGAUGGACACUAGGUGCUCGGGGUAUUGACCCCUCGGGUGCCGUAGCUAACGCAUUAAGUGUCCCGCCUGGGAAAUACGACCGCAAGGUUA